rnacentral:rRNA from 1 species
AAUCAACGCUGGCGGCGUGCCUCAGACAUGCAAGUCGAACGAUUAAAGCUCUCUUCGGAGAGUGUAUAGAGUGGCGCACGGGUGAGUAACACGUAAGUAAUCUACCUUCGAGUGGGGAAUAACGUUCGGAAACGAACGCUAAUACCGCAUAAUGCAGCGGCAUCGCAAGAUGACAGUUGUUAAAGGAAUUUAUCUCGCUUGAAGAGGAGCUUGCGGCAGAUUAGCUAGUUGGUAAGGUAACGGCUUACCAAGGCUACGAUCUGUAUCCGGUCUAAGAGGACGGUCGGACACACUGACACUGAAUAACGGGUCAGACUCCUACGGGAGGCAGCAGUCGGGAAUUUUGGGCAAUGGGCGAAAGCCUGACCCAGCAACGCCGCGUGAAGGAUGAAGUAUUUCGGUAUGUAAACUUCGAAAGAAUGGGAAGAAUAAAUGACGGUACCAUUUAUAAGCUCCGGCUAACUACGUGCCAGCCGCCGCGGUAAGAC